rnacentral:rRNA from 1 species
AUGAAGGAUGUUGGGUAUGGUAUAUUUUCCACUAUUCUUUCAGUAUGUCAUUCUCCUGAUUGGUUGAUUGACACAGGUGCUAAUGUGCAUGUAUGCGGUGAUAUUUCCAUGUUUUCGUCUUAUCAGACCGCAGGAACUUCAACCGUGCUGAUGGGCAACGGUUCAAGUGCUUCUGUUCGUGGUGUUGGCACGGUCGAUCUGAAGUUUACUUCAGGGAAGAUCGUGCGGCUGAAGAACGUGCAUUAUGUCCCCUCCGUCAAUAAAAAUCUUGUUAGCGGAUCUCUUCUGUGUAGAGAUGGCUAUAAGCUUGUCUUUGAGUCGAAUAAAGUUGUAAUAUCCAAGUAUGGAACCUUUGUUGGUAAAGGCUAUGAGUCAGGAGGCCUGUUUCGUUUAUCCUUA